UCACACAAGCACAGGCCCGUGGCCGGCGCAAAAAGUCGCCGCACGCGCGCACAUACACGCAAGCGCAACGGCGCGGGCGGGGGCGCUGCGGGAGAGCAGGGCUGAGGGGCACGCCCCACAUGUGGCCACAGAGGCGGAAGGACAGUCCCGGCUGCAGUGAAAGGGGCCACGGCCUGGCUCUGGGGCUGAAGGCCGCCCCGCUGGCCACAGGGAGGAGACCCCUCCAUGCAGGGCUCCUCACCAGGCCACGGACCCACUGCCAGACCCAGACCGGAACGGGGUGGAGGGUGCUGGGGAGAUGGCGACGUGGUGACCUGGGCCAGCUGUCGGGGUGGAAGGGCCCAGCCUCAGAUGUCACGGCUGGUUUGCGGAGGACCCUGGGCUCAGGCCCUGCAAAGCCUGGUCUGAUUCUUGGAGACAUACGGUGCCGGGGGAGAGGGGGAGUGUCUCCCUUCAAGGCUCUCCACGAGAGUUCCAAGGAGGGACCGUUUUUAGAGUCUCUUAGGGAUGAUGGCCCCAUUCGCACCCUGGCUGUGCCUCUCACCUGUGUCUGGGAGACUCCUUGGUGCUGGGGAGGGUCCCCUUGGGCUCUUGGUGGUGCCCCAGGAGAGCGUGUGUCCGGGGACGGCUGCAGCGGUGGUCCCCUUGGCCAGGUCCUCUCCGGAGGUGGGAUCCCACGUCCAGGGGGGAUAAUCAUCCUCAUCGGCGUAGCCUUGGGAGGAAGUGGGGCAUGGAUUGAGCCCUGCCCUGUCUCAGGUCCUUGCUGCAGCUCCACACUACCCUUCCAGGAUCUCCUGCAGUGACUCUGGGUCCCCCACCCCAUCCCCAGUACCAGUGCAGCCCACGUCAUCCAACCAGAUGGGGCCGGUCCCGGGGCCGUAGUGGGUUUUGCCCACUCGGUGCCGGACCCUUCCACAGCCCAGCUCCCAGCAGGCCACCGUACUGUCCCGCAGGUCCCAGCCGUCAUCGCACACCGUCCCCCAGCGCCCAGCAUGCCACACUUCCAGCCGGCCAGCACACCGGUUGGGCCCAUCGGCCAGACGCACGCGGAACGGGCCUGCUGGUAGAAGACCCCAGCCACGUGGCCUCACCUGUGACACACAGAGACCAGGCAGCACCCGGGGCCCAGUGCUGGGAGCCUCACCUCAUGUAGACACGCGGGCACCUGGAGCAGCCGCGGCACCACGAACCAGUGAGCGCGGAGUGAAUGGCCAGAGUUGCUGUUUGUUGUUCAGGAAAAGGGGGGAGAGCCUCCCGCACGAGAACCCAUCUUCCACCCCCUGCAGCCCUUCCUGGCUAUGAGGGCACAGCUGUCCCCCCGACACCUUCCUGUUUUCCUUUUUCUCAUGCUCCACGUCGUGGGGCCUUGCUGACCGGAGAGCCUGUCCCUCCGAGGGUCAGCUAAUUCCUAGAGACAGGAAACUGCGGGAGUCCGACCCCCCACCGCCUCUCACACUCCGGCCCCCGGCCACCUACCCCGGCCCCCACGUCCGGGUGCCUGACGUCCAGGGGCAGCCCUGCGCCCCACGGCCCGUGGCAAUGAUGCCAGCCAGCCGGUCCUGGGCCUGCUCACUGGGCCUCGCCGGACCCUUCCCACGGAGACCCCAGUCACGGCUGCGGCUCGAGGCUCCCCCUCGCGUCUCCCCCUCGCUCCCUCUGCCUGCACACCGCCCUGGGCUUCCCUGCACCGCCCCUGCCUUGUGUGGGAUGGAAACCCACUCUCUCUCCAGUGGCUGUCCGGUCUUGGUCUGCUGGCCACACCACACGUGAAUACGACUAAGGCCUGUGUUUUAAAAAUGACAACCAUUGGGGCGCCUGGUGGCUCCUUUGGUCAGCCAGGUGUCUGGCUCCUGAUUUUGG